GAUGAACGCUAGCUACAGGCUUAACACAUGCAAGUCGUGGGGCAUCAUGAUGUAGUAAUACAUUGAUGGCGACCGGCGCACGGGUGAGUAACGCGUAUCCAACCUACCCUCCACUCAAGUAUAGGCUUCCGAAAGGGAGAUUAAUCCUUGAUAUCGUCAUUCUCUCUCCUGUUAGAAUGAUAAAAGGACAUCGUUUCGGUAGAGGAUGGGGAUGCGUUCCAUUAGGUAGUAGGUGGUUUAACAGGCCACCUAGCCGAUGAUGGAUAGGGGUUCUGAGAGGAAUGUCCCCCACACUGGUACUGAGAUACGGACCAGACUCCUACGGGAGGCAGCAGUGAGGAAUAUUGGUCAAUGGGCGCAAGCCUGAAACCAGCCAUGUAGCGUGAAGGAUGGACGGUUUUUUUGAUUGUAAAAUUUCUUUUUCUGUGCGAAUAAA
rnacentral:rRNA from 1 species